rnacentral:rRNA from 1 species
GACAGAGGGGGCAAGCGUUGCUCGGAAUUACUGGGCGUAAAGGGCGCGUAGGCGGGAUGGCAAGUCGGUCGUGAAAUCCCUCGGCUCAACUGCGGAUCGUCGAUCGAUACUGCCGUUCUUGAGGAUUGCAGAGGAGACUGGAAUUCCCGGUGUAGCGGUGAGAUGUGUAGAGAUCGGGAGGAACACCGGUGGCGAAGGCGGCCCCCUGGGCCGCUCCUGACGCUGAGACGCGAAGGCCAGGGUAGCGAACGGG